GUAUGGGCUAGCGCAUGGUGCGGUCAGCUAUGAUAUACUCAACUUCUUCUUUAGUAGGUUCACCUACAACAUCUGGUGGUGCCCUCACGGGCACGUUCCUCUCUGGGUCGGUCUGGUCUAAUCGAAGUCAACUGACUCACAUGGAAUACGGGGUGAGUUUUCACCGAGCUGAUCGCUUGAGUCUAUAGGCUACCNNNNNNNNNNNNGGUCUACUUUCUUCUUCCUUCAGACCAGGCCAAGCCUUUAGGUUGUUUAAGUAGGUUGGGCUAGGUUUGGUUGAUCUUUUGGAGUUAUCUCCAAGAAGGGUCGUCGCUCCCUUCAUACGCCUUGCUGCUUUAUCUAAGUGGGUUUGGGCUAGGUCGUUGCGAUCCUGCCACCUCUUGGAAAAGUAGGCUGAUGGGCAAGCCCCCUCUUUUCGCAAUGGUGUGGGGCGUCAAAGGCUGUUGCCCCGUGGCCAACUCGAAGGGGCUGAAGUUCGACGCAGAGCUUUUUGGUUGUUAAGUUAUAGCAAACAUCCAACAGCUCCAGUCCUUCUGCACUAAAGUGCCUUAAGUAGCCCUCGAGGAGUCCGUUUAUUCUCUCCGUCUGAGCUUUCAAAGAUAUACCGACCAUAGAUAUCUUACCAUCAGAUACCGACAGUCGUCUUCUAACAUUACCGACCUUUAAAUAUCGGGUUUUCAAAAAUUUCACAUAACAUAAAAAUAAAUUAAAAAGCUCUUUUCAUCAUCAGAAACAACUUGAUUUCCGAC
rnacentral:misc_RNA from 1 species